CUAGCAUAUCAAUAAGCGGAGGAAAAGAAAGCAACAGCGAUAGCCUCAGUAACGGCGAGUGAAGCGGCUACAGCUCAAAUUUGAAAUCUGGCUCCCCUUUGGGCGUCCGAGUUGUAAUUUGCAGAGGAUGCUUUGGCAUUGGCGGCGGUCUAAGUUCCUUGGAACAGGACAUCGCAGAGGGUGAGAAUCCCGUACGUGGGCGCCUGCCUUUGCCGUGUAAAGCUCCUUCGACGAGUCGAGUUGUUUGGGAAUGCAGCUCUAAAUGGGAGGUAAAUUUCUCCUAAAGCUAAAUACCGGCCAGAGACCGAUAGCGCACAAGUAGAGUGAUCGAAAGAUGAAAAGUACUUUGGAAAGAGAGUCAAAUAGCACGUGAAAUUGUUGAAAGGGAAGCGCUUGCAGCCAGACUUGCCCGCAGUUGCUCACCUAGGCUUUUGCCUGGGGCACUCUUCUGCGGGCAGGCCAGCAUCAGUUUGGGCGGUCGGAUAAAGGUCUCUGUCAUGUACCACCCCUCGGGGUGGCCUUAUAGGGGAGACGCAAUGCGACCAGCCCGGACUGAGGUCCGCGCAUCUGCUAGGAUGCUGGCGUAAUGGCUGUAAGCGGCCCGUCUUGAAACACGGACCAAGGAGUCUAACAUCUAUGCGAGUGUUUGGGUGUCAAGCCCGGGCGCGCAAUGAAAGUGAACGGAGGUGGGAACCUUUCGGGGUGCACCAUCGACCGAUCCUGAUGUCUUCGGAUGGAUUUGAGUAAGAGCAUAGCUGUUGGGACCCGAAAGAUGGUGAACUAUGCUUGAAUAGGGUGAAGCCAGAGGAAACUCUGGUGGAGGCUCGCAGCGGUUCUGACGUGCAAAUCGAUCGUCAAAUUUGGGCAUAGGGGCGAAAGACUAAUCGAACCAUCUAGUAGCUGGUUCCUGCGAG
rnacentral:rRNA from 1 species